AAGUUCUGUGAUACACUUCGACUCUAAUUGUUUGCAGUCAGUGCAUUACAGAACUUUGU
ensembl:miRNA